UGCAGUCGAGCGGAACGACUCUAGCUUGCUAGAAGGCGUCGAGCGGCGGACGGGUGAGUAACGCGUAGGAAUCUACCCGGUAGUUGGGGAUAGCCCGGAGAAAUCCGGAUUAAUACCGAAUAAUCUCUACGGAGGAAAGGGGGCUUCGGCUCUCGCUACUGGAUGAGCCUGCGUUGGAUUAGCUAGUUGGUGAGGUAAAUGCUCACCAAGGCGACGAUCCAUAGCUGGUCUGAGAGGAUGAUCAGCCACACUGGGACUGAGACACGGCCCAGACUCCUACGGGAGGCAGCAGUGGGGAAUAUUGGACAAUGGGGGCAACCCUGAUCCAGCCAUACCGCGUGUGUGAAGAAGGCCUUCGGGUUGUAAAGCACUUUCAGUUGUGAGGAAAGGUUAGUAGUUAAUACCUGCUAGCUGUGACGUUAACAACAGAAGAAGCACCGGCUAACUCCGUGCCAGCAGCCGCGGUAAUACGGAGGGUGCGAGCGUUAAUCGGAAUUACUGGGCGUAAAGCGCACGCAGGCGGUCUGUUAAGCUAGAUGUGAAAGCCCCGCGCUCAACGUGGGAGGGUCAUUUAGAACUGGCAGACUAGAGUCUUG
rnacentral:rRNA from 1 species